UAUAGGAUAUAGAAAUUGAAAUCGGAUCCGUGAGUGGGAACGCUAUAUAACUUUGCGCUUUUACUUACAUUAAAUGACGUGCAGAUUGUCUAAACAAAUCUAAACAGAUUGUAUAAAACCUAAAUGUCACUGUCAGCCGCGAAUAACGCAAUUUCAUCUGCAUACAUAUAAACUUACACGUCCUGAUGAGGGGGGAUGGAGCUCAUUAGUAUAAUAAAUAAUACUGCACACAGGACUGCUCCUUGGGGAACACCGCAAUUCUGUCUGAAUUUAGAUGAGGAACAGCCAUCCUUGUAGUAAUAAAAUUCUCUUGAUCUCAAAAAUUCUGCCGACCACGCAAUAUUAUAAUUUGGGAAAUUAUGACUCUAUGUAAUAUCCAGUAAAGGUGGAUGUUCAACGCUGUCAUAUGCUUUAGAUAUAUCUAAUGUCACUAAAGCAGAAUAUUGUCUCCUUUUGCGCGCAAGUUGUAUGCGUCUCUCUAAAUCAACAUGGGUACACCAUAUUGAGCAAUCAACUCUGAAGCCUAUUUAAUUUGGACUUAAUAUUAAAUUAUUCGUCCUCCAGGUAGUAAUUGUGCAAUGUAAUACCCUCUCUAUGAGCUUGACCAUAUUAGAAGAAAAAUAGGUCGUGUACCUCUUCUUCUUUUUCACCCUUCUACCUGGCACAUACGCACAGUUGGAGAUUGGUAAAGAACGUCUUUAACUCAAAUUAGAGCGUUUAUUACAUGCGACCGCCAAGGUAUUCCUUCCUUUUUAUAUUCUUCUUAACACUAACGUGGGCUUCGGAAACAAUAAUUUUUUUCUCUCUUCUGUCUGUCGCCUGUCGCAAAACUGCGGGAGGGAGUUUCACCGCCCAGAACUAUAUAAUCGUUAAUAGGUGUCGACAUCUCGAAAAUCAGAAGUUACAGAGGCACUUAAGUCAUCUUACGUGCAUUGAAUGCGAAAGCACUCUGACUCUUCCUCGCCAUACUUUUCGCUUGGUCAUGGGCUCGAAUUGGGCAAAGUCAAUUUUGAGGGUUUACCAGGUAGGUUUUCAACGUGGUUCAAUUCAGUUUUUGAAUUGGGAGAAGUCAUUUUUUUUUGUUUGUUUGUUUGUUUGUUUGUUUGUUUGUUUUUUUUGUUUUUUUUUUGGGUGGGGGGUGGAGGGGUAUGGGUUGUGGCAUCCGAGCGACACCGUUGCUGUUCACCGUGGUAUGUCGCAGUGCGAGCCGCAGCAGGACCGGCGCCGGGAUCGUGACGUCAUCAUUUGGUCACGACGCAAUGGCGUACCGCGACAUGCUGUGCAGCCGAUCAGCUUAAAGGGACAAGAAACCUGGCAUCUCCUUCCAUGAAAUCACUGUGGAUGAAAAUCUCCGAGAACAGUGAUUAAGGCAAUCUGGAAGGAUGACUGGAUACCAAACACGACGUCGAAUUAUUCAAGAGUAUGCAGCCGGCAUGUCCAAGAGGCAGACUUCACAGAGGGCAAGCGGCGUUGCCUCAAGAAAGGUGCUUUCUCACCAAGUAGACAACUUGGGUCACUGGAUAUGUGCCAUGGGUAUGUCACCAAUCAAAACAUACGCCAAGCUCAUCAUCUUGCUUGUCAACCAGUCUCUCUCCAAGCGAAUCUGCAGACGGCCAUUUGGAGCAACUGAGUCCUGGAGGCAGACUGCUAGCUUUCGAUUUCUGGAUGUCAGCAAGGUUGCAGCUUGGAAUACUGCUUGACCCUCCUUGCCCAUAGUCGUGAGACAGUGGUUCACCGUAUACAGCCAUGCCCCAAAUAAAGAAAUAUGCAUUGCAGCUAGCUGCUUUUGGUUGUGUGUAGUCAGCUAUAUGUAAAGAUGCAACUUUAUUCAUUCCGUUUAAGUAAUUCUAUCCCUGUAGGCCUGCUGUGCUGAUCGAUUGCACAUGUUAAUAAAAAGAGGGAAAGGGGGGUCUGCAAAAAGGUGACACAACACAAGCAAGGCGUCUAUCCAUGUUUCAAAAAUCAGAGGUACGAUCUCUCGAGGCCGCUUCGGCUUCUGAGAAAGAAGCUGAAUUGUCAUCGCAACAUUAGGACUCUGAUUUUAAAAAUUGGAUGGAGAUAUUUCUCUCUUCAUUAUUGUCUCACACAAAUAGGUUCUGUCUCUCAGAUUCACAGCUCACCUUCAGAUUCAACACACACCGAACAUAUUCACAGACAGACUCAGAUUUCACAGACAGAUUUCAGUCAAAGAUGUUUAGAUAUAUCAGAAAAGACAACAAAAUGUUAGGCCUGUAUUACAGCACCCACGCCAGAGGAUCUGCCCCACAGGCCACAUAAAACACGGCUAAAGCUCUCCGAUGACUGCAGUUCAUCCAGCCAUGUAACCUGCGUAUGCAUGGUGUGAAGGACAAAGGUACAGCCUGUGGAGACAACUCGAGGCAUUUUCAUGUCAGAUGCUAACGACAGAAAUGAAACGUUAAUGUUCGGUAUGCUACGUUCACACCUAGCAGGCAACGCUGCCGUGCUAAAGAGGUUCCGAUCUACGAUGCUAGCCACGUCACAUAGUGACAUCAUAUUUUGCAAUUAUUUCGUGUGUGACACGCUAUUUUUUGGUCACGAAUAGAGCAGUGAGACAAGUUGCUCUAGCCUUCAUAGCAUUCGCCUGCUAUGUGUGAAAUGUGCU